AGGGAUUAAAAUUGAAAGCUACACUUGAAAGAACAGAUAAUGAUUUCUGUAUAUCUCAAUCAAAACCCAUUCGUUGAUAAUUUCACUGCUGAGGAAAAAGAGAAAGACAGAAUUUAUAGAGAGAAAGAAGAAUUUUAUUACAAUAAAUAAAUCAGAAGAAUUUUCAAAAGGGACAAUUGCAUCUUCAGAAGAAUGUUCCAUGGGCUCACAAAUUGAAAGCCACUUAGAAACAGCCAUGACAGACAAUAUCACAUGUGAUUUUCAAAUAUCUACUUAGAAACAGCUUAAGAGUAGCAGAGAUGUGAAUUCAGAACGACGCCCUUUCUGGACCCAUUCCUGAUUUAGCGCUUAUCGAGCCUGUGGACACCGAAAUUGCAACAAACCAGAAGCUUCAGCUUUAUUGUAAAGAUGAGUUGAGAGCUUCGUUUAAGGAAUGAAAAAGGUUAGUAUCCAAAAGUUGGUAAAGGAAAGGAACUCGUGUCGGCUUGGCCAGGUUAACGAGAAAAGGGAGACUGGACUAGGUCGUUAGCGCAAGAACGAACAGAAGAUAGUGACCAGAAAAUCGAGAAGGGGUAAAGGAAGAGGUCCGAUCGAGCAGUUCAAGGCAUAGUUCACGUGGAAGGAGAGAAAAAGGCAACUGAUGGGUGGUUCAUCCAGAAAUCACUGCACAGCACUAGCAUUGCUUGAAAGAAAAUGGAACGAGAAGGCGACAGCGCCGCGAUCGUGGAACAGAGAGAGAAUGAGAAAUUUGGUCCUCUUUUGAAAACCUAAAUGACACUUUGGUUUGGUUCACUUCGAGUUUGAUUCGAUUUGAACCACACAAUUCUUGAUUUCCUCCUGAUUUUAGUAGGUUUGAGUUUGAAAAUCCAAUUCAGCGCCACCUGUCAUCCUAAC
rnacentral:lncRNA from 1 species